rnacentral:tRNA from 1 species
GAGGGUAUAGCUCAGUGGUAGAGUGCAUGGUUAGCAGGCAUGAGGUCAUAGGUUUGAUUCCAAGUAUCUAUG